CUUAACACCUACACUGCUGUCUCCUCUCCCACCACGCUUCGCUGCUCGAACGCAUUCGAUUCUCUCUCUCCCCGUUUCUGCCACCCACCAAAAUCCCGACCCUCUUCGCCAUCAUCAAUGUCUUUGCCGAAUCAGCAGACGGUCGAUCACCCAAGCUUCAAGCUUCUCAUCGUCGGCUAUGGAGGCACAGGCUUCGGUCUAGUUAUUUUAGUGGUCGGGAUCAGGAAAAUGUAAAAUGCUCGUGGCUAUAUCCUUGAAGAUAGAGGAUUUACCAUUUGAAGUGGCGAGCAGUAUGUUUUUACACAAUUUCUGGGGAUUUGUCCAAAACGAACGGUGUCAGACGAGAAGCGGUUUUGCGAUCUUCUUCAUUUGUCACGACACAGAAGCCAUGGGGUGCAUCUUUUCUUCCUAGUGUCAAGCAAUG